CAGGUAGUGGCCGGGCGGCAGGCGGCAGCGGCGGCUCACGUCGCGGCGGGCGCAGAAAACCGAGCGGUCCGCGCGCAGCAGUCCCGGAAGAAAACACAACGGAAUGAGGGCUGGAGAGCUCGCAGACUCCCCGCCCCUCCACACCUCUCACACCCCUCCUUUCUGGACCCUUAACAUUUCCUCAUCUCUGACCUAAGUCCCCUCUGACCCCGUCCCCAACCCUUUCCUUUCCACCUGUGCCCUCACCCCUUCUCUGCCCCUCCAGACCCUCACCUGGAACACGUGGAAGCCCACAGUGAGGUUCCAGCAGUGUCAGCCGGAACUGGGGAUUGGUCCAGAAGUUUUCUGACAGAGAAGAAGGUGGUGGAGUUCUCAUCCUGACACAAGCCUCCCCC